AGUGAACGCUGGCGGUAGGCCUAACACAUGCAAGUCGAACGGCAGCACAGUAAGAGCUUGCUCUUACGGGUGGCGAGUGGCGGACGGGUGAGGAAUACAUCGGAAUCUACUUUUUCGUGGGGGAUAACGUAGGGAAACUUACGCUAAUACCGCAUACGACCUACGGGUGAAAGCAGGGGAUCUUCGGACCUUGCGCGAUUGAAUGAGCCGAUGUCGGAUUAGCUAGUUGGCGGGGUAAAGGCCCACCAAGGCGACGAUCCGUAGCUGGUCUGAGAGGAUGAUCAGCGACACUGGAACUGAGACAGGGUCCAGAGUCCUACGGGAGGCAGCAGUGGGGAAUAUUGGACAAUGGGCGCAAGCCUGAUCCAGCCAUACCGCGUGGGUGAAGAAGGCCUUCGGGUUGUAAAGCCCUUUUGUUGGGAAAGAAAAGCAGCAGGUUAAUACCCCGCUGUUCUGACGGUACCCAAAGAAUAAGCACCGGCUAACUUCGUG
rnacentral:rRNA from 1 species